GACAAUGCCUGGCUAAAAAUGAAAAAAGACAAACAGACAAACAAUAAAACCCAUGACACAACAUGGAAAACUAAAGAAUAAGCAACACGAACCAAUAAUUGUUUCGAUUCAUUUACCAGUGAUGUAUUUUUUAAAAGGAAAUUUCACAAGACCGCCUUCAGUGAUGAAUUGCUUUAACUCUUUCCAUCUUUUAAUGAAAUUUUCAAUCGAAACAUAAGAAGAAAGAAAUAAUUCAUUGUUUUUUAAUUGUCCCUUUCAUGUAUUUUGCCUCUCUUGUUACGCACUAAGAAGAUGUUUUAUAAGUUGCUAGUUUAUUUGCAAAUCAAUCAUUACAUGCACAGUUAGAUCUAAGAAAAACUGAUACUCUACCAAAACAUAUGCGAAAAACGUAUUUUCUUCUUUUCUUUUGUCUCAUAAAUGUGUUGUCCUUUGAGUGUUUUCGCCCGAUAGCCAAACAUUUAUAUUAUUUAGAGGCACGUCCGUCCGUCCGUCUAGCCCACUUCAUGUUCACUUAACAUAGAAAAUGAUAGUGCGAGUGGGCAUCCGUGUACUAGGGACACAUUCUUGUUUGUACAUUAAAUAGGCCGUUAGUUUUCAAGUUUGCAUUGUUUUGCAUUUAUCAUUUUGGGGCCUUUUAUAGCUGACUAUGCGAUAUGGGCGAUCCUUGAAUAUCGUUUUUAUUGGUAUUAAUAUUGAUUUUGUGAUCAGUAAAUUAAAAGCAAACUAAAUAUUAUUGUUAUAUACAUAUGCAUUUUCGUGGAACUACAAUCUGCAUACUCCUGUAUCUUGGCAUUGUACAAGGUUAUGUUUAUGACGUCUUUAGAUUAAACUAUUAAUGUUGGAUGUGUACUGAUUGAUAAUUUUAUGGGCUUUGAACUUGCUGUUAGUAACUGCGAUUACGCUCAGAUCUGUUCAUAGUGUCUUUUUGUUGUUGGGAUAUACAAGUACCUGGUUACGUCCAAGUUUUUCUGUUAUAUGCGUUUCUAUUUGUAUCCAUCUGAUGAGUUAAGCCUUUUUAAACUGAUUUUUAUAGUUCGUUCUUAUGUUGUACUGUUACACCACUGUUCCAGGUUAUGGGAGGAUUGGAAAACCGCUAAUAUGUUAACCCCGCCACAUUCUGUUUGUAUGUGCCGGUGCCAAGUUUGGAGCCUGUAAUUCAGUGGUUGUCGUUUGUUGCUGUGUUUCAUAUUUGUUUUUUGUUCAUCUCUUUUACAUUAAUUAGGCCGUUAGUUUUCUCGUUUGAAUUGUUUUACAUUUGUCAUUUCGGGGCUUUUAUAGCGGACUAUACUGUAUGGGCUUUGCUCAUUGUUGAAGGCCGUACGGAGACUUAUGGCUGUGAAUGUCUCUUUUAUUUAGUCUCUUGUGGAGAGUUGUUUCAUUGGAAAUCAUACCACAUCUUCUGUUUUAUAUUUUCUCAUUGUUGAAGGCCAUCAAUGACCUUAAGUUGUUGAUUUCUGUUUCAUUUGGUCUUUUGUGAAGUGUUGUAUCAUUGGAAAUCUUACCACAUCUUAAUUUUUUCGAAUAUUACUAGUGGAAGAUGUGUUUUAUCUGGCCAAUCUUGCUAAAAGUAGGUAUUUCAUGCAAAUAAUUUCAGGAGUUUUUAUUUACCUUUGUGUAUAGCCGUUACUGUUAUGUGUCAUUUGAAUGAACAUAUAUUUACUUUCAGUUGUUACUACUACAGGGCAUUCUAUCCUUGAUAUGUAGCACAUAGUUAUACAGUGAAGUUAUAAUUCCCUUUGUGUUGUUUUCUGCGAUAAAGGGUAAACUAUUUUGCCCAAUAUUCCCCUAUUUUCUUUUCAUAGAAGACUUCAAUAGCUCAUAAAAGGUAGUUACCAAAAUUGAAGCAGAUUCUAGAUUUUUCUUGUUUUACGAUUUGAGACCCAAAUAAUACCAAUACUAAAUAGAAGGUACAAAUC
rnacentral:lncRNA from 1 species